GGGCGUGUGGUCUAGCGGCAGGGCACUCUGAAGCCGCCAUGAGAGGUUCGCUCUCGCGGCGGUGGUGAGUGACCUAGGUUCGAUUCCUGGCGCGUCCC